GACAGAGGAUGCAAGCGUUAUCCGGAAUGAUUGGGCGUAAAGCGUCUGUAGGUGGCUUUUUAAGUCCGCCGUCAAAUCCCAGGGCUCAACCCUGGACAGGCGGUGGAAACUACCAAGCUGGAGUACGGUAGGGGCAGAGGGAAUUUCCAGUGGAGCGGUGAAAUGCGUAGAUAUUGGAAAGACCACCAAUGGCGAAGGCACUCUACUGGGCCAUUACUGACGCUCAGGUGCGAAAGCUAGGGGAGCGAACAGG
rnacentral:rRNA from 1 species